UAGCUGGGCACGGUGGUGCAUGCCUGUAAUCCCAGCUACUCAGGAGGCUGAGGCAGGAGAAUUGCCUGAACCCAGGAGGCGGAGAUUGCGGUGAGCCGAGAUCGCGCCAUUGCACUCCAGCCUGGGUAACAAGAGCGAAACUCCGUCUCAAAAAAAAAAAAAAAUUACAUGAGAUGUUCAACACUUUAUGAUAAAAUAGGCUUUGCGUUAGAUGGUUUUGCCCAGCUGUAGGCUAAUACAGUGUUCUGAGCAUCUUUAAGGUAGGCUAGGCUAAGCUAGGACAUUCUGAAUGUUAGGUGUCUUACAUGCAUUUUCGACCUAAUGAUAUUUUCAACAUUUGAUGGGCUUCUUGGAUUGCAGCCCCAUUGCAAGUCAAGGAGCAUCUGUCCUGACAAGAGAGAUUAAAUGGAAACAUGCCAGGAUUCUUGAGGCUAAGGCUCGAAAGCGGCACCUCAUCCCUCCCCUGCAUUCCACUGGUGAAACGCUUCUCAAGGCUGGCACAGAUUCAAGGGAUGGGAAGUGGACCGUGAUUCUUUGGUUGUCGAAAGUGGGGCUUACCUGUCUUGGCUCUGGGGAGGUAAUGAAGGUGGAAAUCAAAGGUAUCUUCCAAAGACUCCCCUGGAAUAGGCCAGCUCCCUCUCAGAAAAACAAGCCCUUAACCUCCUCUGGGGGACACUCUGCAGAGAUGAAUUCAAAGUCCUUUUGGCUCCUCAGGUGGUCUCAUUCAGCACUAGCUGAAUCGAUGAAUGAAUGUCAAGUUCCUUUGGAACACCUGCCGAGCCUGACACAGCAGAGGUGUGCGACGCUAGCAGAGCAACAGACAAAUGGGUCAGAAACCCCUACAGCAAGUACAAUGGCUUACGGAUACCUGAUUAAAGAGAUUGAGCAAAGGACCCCCAUGUUUAGUUGGCUCUGAAGUUUGAAUAGUGUGCUCAUGGAAAAGGAUCUUUUUCUUCUGAGUUAGGUAGAUCUUCAAUAUGGCCAGAGAUCUGGCUUAUUUUUCGUUCUCCCUGAGUUGAUGCAUUUAUGUAUCGAUUAUCUAUAGGAAAAGCUUUCGUAUUCCUAAUCUGGGUCAUUUCACAAUACACUAUUGACACAAACCCCCAUUGCUGCACUUGCUCCAUACUUUCUGUAGGAGCCCCGGGACAACCGACGUGAUGGUAAGUUAAUCCGGCGUCCGCUUCAUGGUCAAUCCAUGCGCUACACAUGCUGGGUACUCAAGGCAUGCUUUUGAAUAAACGAAUGAAUGAACCAAUGAAUUAAUGAGUA
rnacentral:lncRNA from 13 species